rnacentral:misc_RNA from 1 species
AAGUCGUAACAAGGUUUCCGUAGGUGAACCUGCGGAAGGAUCAUCAUCAAGUUUUAACUAAUAUCAAGGACUCUGUGAGGGGCAACCUUUGCAGAUUCUCCUUGGUAUUUAACCAAUGUGAAUUGGGGGAAGUAUAUUGAAGGACGCAAGUCUUGACUAUAUAUUGAACUCAUUUUUUUCUCUUGAUGCAAAGACCAAUGUGUGUCAAAGCACAUAUGUUUUAGUGUCUUGAGAGAUAUUAACUAUUAAAAGAGUCGGAUAAAAAACAAAAAAUUAAAAACAACUUUUAACAAUGGAUCUCUUGGCUCUU